rnacentral:rRNA from 1 species
UACGAAGGGGGCUAGCGUUGUUCGGAAUUACUGGGCGUAAAGCGCGCGUAGGCGGACACUUAAGUCAGGGGUGAAAUCCCGAGGCUCAACCUCGGAACUGCCUUUGAUACUGCGUGUCUGGAGUCCGGAAGAGGUUGGUGGAAUUCCGAGUGUAGAGGUGAAAUUCGUAGAUAUUCGGAGGAACACCAGAGGCGAAGGCGGCCAACUGGUCCGGUACUGACGCUGAGGCGCGAAAGCGUGGGGAGCAAACAGG